rnacentral:lncRNA from 1 species
CCUCUGGCGUGCCUUGUGCCUUGUUCAGUCCUGGGACAGGAUAAGUGGGGCGAGCCGUGGCCAGAUACUAGGCUUAGUCUGUUGCAUGUCCACCCCUCCCCGCCUCUCCUGGAACAUGCUCUGUCCUGCACGGAGCCUGCCUCUCCAGUGUCACUAGGACCUGCACAGCACCCUAGUACCAGGGUGCACUGGCACAGCCCCUAUCUGAACGUCAGUGGGACCUGGCUUCUGGCUGCUGCAGGGGACACCUGGCCCCAGCCAGACUCUAGUGCCCAUAACUGUCUUCCUGGGGUCCUGAGACCCCCACCCCAAGCUUCAGCCACCACCAGCCUCUAGCUACCACCCUUUCCCUUUCACACCCCCCCCCCUGCCAUCCCUGCGGCUGCUGCUUCCAUGUCAUUUGCCUUUGAAGUGCUGAGAGAGCCUAACCACAGUUGGCAGUGUCCUCUGUGGGAAUGCAGAGUGGCCCCACCCGUGAGUCACCAAUGUGAGUCCAUUGACACCUGCUGACUGGCUACUCUUGCCCACCAACCCUGCCAGACCACCCAGGCUGUGUGGAUCUUGACAGUGUGCACUGUGCAACCUGCCGCUGCUCAUAGCAGCUUCUGGAAGCCAACUCAUGAACCAGCCAGUGCAGAGCCAGAGGGAGUCUGCUCAGGGUUUCAAGGAACAGGGAUGUGUGCCUCCACACCCCUUGCAGCCAUCAGCAGAUGUCAGAAGAGGGUGCCGGAUAUCUCAGGACUGGAGUUAUAGAUGGUUGUGAAUCUCCAUGUGGGUGCCGGAAACUGAACCCAGAGCCUCUGCAAGAGCAGCCAGUGCUCUUAGCCUCUGGUCCCCUCUCCGGCCCUUUCAUC